rnacentral:rRNA from 1 species
AUAAUGGGUCAGCGACUUAUAUUCUGUAGCAAGGUUAACCGAAUAGGGGAGCCGAAGGGAAACCGAGUCUUAACUGGGCGUUAAGUUGCAGGGUAUAGACCCGAAACCCGGUGAUCUAGCCAUGGGCAGGUUGAAGGUUGGGUAACACUAACUGGAGGACCGAACCGACUAAUGUUGAAAAAUUAGCGGAUGACUUGUGGCUGGGGGUGAAAGGCCAAUCAAACCGGGAGAUAGCUGGUUCUCCCCGAAAGCUAUUUAGGUAGCGCCUCGUGAAUUCAUCUCCGGGGGUAGAGCACUGUUUCGGCAAGGGGGUCAUCCCGACUUACCAACCCGAUGCAAACUGCGAAUACCGGAGAAUGUUAUCACGGGAGACACACGGCGGGUGCUAACGUCCGUCGUGAAGAGGGAAACAACCCAGACCGCCAGCUAAGGUCCCAAAGUCAUGGUUAAGUGGGAAACGAUGUGGGAAGGCCCAGACAGCCAGGAUGUUGGCUUAGAAGCAGCCAUCAUUUAAAGAAAGCGUAAUAGCUCACUGGUCGAGUCGGCCUGCGCGGAAGAUGUAACGGGGCUAAACCAUGCACCGAAGCUGCGGCAGCGACGCUUAUGCGUUGUUGGGUAGGGGAGCGUUCUGUAAGCCUGCGAAGGUGUGCUGUGAGGCAUGCUGGAGGUAUCAGAAGUGCGAAUGCUGACAUAAGUAACGAUAAAGCGGGUGAAAAGCCCGCUCGCCGGAAGACCAAGGGUUCCUGUCCAACGUUAAUCGGGGCAGGGUGAGUCGACCCCUAAGGCGAGGCCGAAAGGCGUAGUCGAUGGGAAACAGGUUAAUAUUCCUGUACUUGGUGUUACUGCGAAGGGGGGACGGAGAAGGCUAUGUUGGCCGGGCGACGGUUGUCCCGGUUUAAGCGUGUAGGCUGGUUUUCCAGGCAAAUCCGGAAAAUCAAGGCUGAGGCGUGAUGACGAGGCACUACGGUGCUGAAGCAACAAAUGCCCUGCUUCCAGGAAAAGCCUCUAAGCAUCAGGUAACAUCAAAUCGUACCCCAAACCGACACAGGUGGUCAGGUAGAGAAUACCAAGGCGCUUGAGAGAACUCGGGUGAAGGAACUAGGCAAAAUGGUGCCGUAACUUCGGGAGAAGGCACGCUGAUAUGUAGGUGAAGUCCCUCGCGGAUGGAGCUGAAAUCAGUCGAAGAUACCAGCUGGCUGCAACUGUUUAUUAAAAACACAGCACUGUGCAAACACGAAAGUGGACGUAUACGGUGUGACGCCUGCCCGGUGCCGGAAGGUUAAUUGAUGGGGUCAGCGCAAGCGAAGCUCUUGAUCGAAGCCCCGGUAAACGGCGGCCGUAACUAUAACGGUCCUAAGGUAGCGAAAUUCCUUGUCGGGUAAGUUCCGACCUGCACGAAUGGCGUAAUGAUGGCCAGGCUGUCUCCACCCGAGACUCAGUGAAAUUGAACUCGCUGUGAAGAUGCAGUGUACCCGCGGCAAGACGGAAAGACCCCGUGAACCUUUACUAUAGCUUGACACUGAACAUUGAGCCUUGAUGUGUAGGAUAGGUGGGAGGCUUUGAAGUGUGGACGCCAGUCUGCAUGGAGCCGACCUUGAAAUACCACCCUUUAAUGUUUGAUGUUCUAACGUUGACCCGUGAUCCGGGUUGCGGACAGUGUCUGGUGGGUAGUUUGACUGGGGCGGUCUCCUCCUAAAGAGUAACGGAGGAGCACGAAGGUUGGCUAAUCCUGGUCGGACAUCAGGAGGUUAGUGCAAUGGCAUAAGCCAGCUUGACUGCGAGCGUGACGGCGCGAGCAGGUGCGAAAGCAGGUCAUAGUGAUCCGGUGGUUCUGAAUGGAAGGGCCAUCGCUCAACGGAUAAAAGGUACUCCGGGGAUAACAGGCUGAUACCGCCCAAGAGUUCAUAUCGACGGCGGUGUUUGGCACCUCGAUGUCGGCUCAUCACAUCCUGGGGCUGAAGUAGGUCCCAAGGGUAUGGCUGUUCGCCAUUUAAAGUGGUACGCGAGCUGGGUUUAGAACGUCGUGAGACAGUUCGGUCCCUAUCUGCCGUGGGCGCUGGAGAACUGAGGGGGGCUGCUCCUAGUACGAGAGGACCGGAGUGGACGCAUCACUGGUGUUCGGGUUGUCAUGCCAAUGGCACUGCCCGGUAGCUAAAUGCGGAAGAGAUAAGUGCUGAAAGCAUCUAAGCACGAAACUUGCCCCGAGAUGAGUUCUCCCUGACUCCUUGAGAGUCCUGAAGGAACGUUGAAGACGACGACGUUGAUAGGCCGGGUGUGUAAGCGCAGCGAUGCGUUGAGCUAACCGGUACUAAUGAACCGUGAG